GUAGGUGGCGAGCGUUAUCCGGAAUUAUUGGGCGUAAAGAGGGAGCAGGCGGCACUAAGGGUCUGUGGUGAAAGGUCGAAGCUUAACUUCGGUAAGCCAUGGAAACCGUAGAGCUAGAGUGUGUGAGAGGAUCGUGGAAUUCCAUGUGUAGCGGUGAAAUGCGUAGAUAUAGGAGGAACACCAGUGGCGAAGGCGGCUUACUGGACGGUAACUGACGUUGAGGCUCGAAAGCGUGGGGAGCAAACAGGAUUAGAUACCCUGGUAGUCCACGCCGUAAACGAUGACUACUAGGUGUCGGGCAGCAAAGCUGUUCGGUGCCGCAGCAAACGCAAUAAGUAGUCCACCUGGGGAGU
rnacentral:rRNA from 1 species